GACGAACCGUGCGAAUGUUGUUCGGAAUCACUGGGCUUAAAGGGCGCGUAGGCGGGCUGCCAAGUCCGUGGUGAAAUCCUCCAGCUUAACUGGAGAACUGCCGCGGAUACUGGCGGCCUCGAGGGAGGCAGGGGCAUGCGGAACUGUGCGUGGAGCGGUGAAAUGCGUUGAUAUGCACAGGAACUCCGGUGGCGAAGGCGGCGUGCUGGUCCUCUUCUGACGCUGAGGCGCGAAAGCUAGGGGAGCGAACGGG
rnacentral:rRNA from 1 species